ensembl:lncRNA
GUGAGUGGAUGCCUUAACGACACAGGGGUUUAGACAAAUUAACCAAUUCGUACAUAUUUUACGAGGUGGCUAAGAAUGCGGGACUCUGGCUGAGGGACUGUAGAUGCAGCAGGCUCAGACUCCAAGUCUGCAGCUUCAUAAUAUUGCUCCCGUCUCAGUGCAUGCACUGAUAUUACUGAGUGAUGAUAUUACUGCGCCGAGGUCGAAGUGCUGCGAAGUGCUCUUCCGCCAUACAUUAUAGUCAUCAUUUUUAUCCGCUUAGGAAAAACAUGGAAGUGUUUGGUAGCUUCUAAAUUCCCUGUUUGGAUCCUAAGGAAUAAAUGGUGCUAGGCUAAACUCAAGCAUAGUGGUGCCGCACGCUACAGCGAUUGAGUGCACUCAGUGAGACGGGAGAGAAAUUAUUCACAUGGCAUUAACGGCGUAGGUGGUUGUCUCAAAACAACCUGCCAGCAAAACUGAACACCCAUGAGCAAAGAUGGUGGAUUUCAAUUGGGUGAUACUGCGCCAGCCAAGCAACUGCCACUGAGAUGAAAUGUGAAUGCUAACUGAUAGCUUUCAUCAGGAUUUGAGCUAAACUUAAUGAUCCAAGGCAAACAUCUAAUCCACUGUGCUGCGGAGUGGUACAUGUGACAAAUGCACCCGGUGGAGAAGACGAGCAGUGCCACAACUCAUGCCACACGUCUGAUCCCUGCCCAUGUCUCUCCAACACUAAUGGCAUUACACUGCCUCCUCCUUUAGUGGCGUUCAUCCUUUGCCAUUUAUCUUUGCAUGAUGCACGAUGUACGUUAGUUGGCCUAUUAAUACUAAAUGCCAGCUUGUCACGCACAUCAGGGAGAAAAGUUGACUCUCAAACUUUAAAUAAGAAGUAUUUUUCUUCUUUUCUUUAUAUAUAUAGGAAGGAAGAGGAAGACAUUUUUGAACUACUGGGAAAAAAAUAAUACUCGGAGUACCCAGAACGUUAUCAGAUAUCAGGAGGCUGGUACUACUGCUUCUCAAAAGUAUCCAGGUUGUUUUUAUCCAAUCGCCUGAGCCAUAAAUUUGACAAAAUAUGACAUUAUAGCAAUGCGAAUUGGCUCAUGGCACCCCAAGAAUGUUUCAAGACCUUUUUAAAAGUUAAAAAAAAAAUGAUUCUUUGCUAAAUAUUUGCUCUAUACUUAUUGCAUCAUAUUACAAUUUGUGUGUGUGUAUAUAAUUAUAUAAAAAAAGUCUCUAAAGAAAAAUGUCAUGUAUUGCUGAUUGUCAGACACAUUUGAUGAAUGAAAACAGAGCUCUGUUGCACUUGUAGUUUCAAGUGUUUUAUUAUUUUUCUUUCGCUUCCUUUCCCUUUCUGUCUGGUUAACCCUACAAUAUGUGUUCAGAUGUGAUUUAAUAAGUGGAGAGGUCCCACGGGCGGCCUCGCAUUGAGUUUUCCUGUGGGUCCUUUCUGUGUGUAUGACUCUGCAGUGGCAGGGGGGCUCCCUGGCCCAGAUUAAUUACCCCCCUCUAAUUGGUUUAGUGUCUCACAGCUGGGCCAUGCAGACAGCACACUGAAACAUCCAGUUAAAUGAUGCCCAUCCGUCAUCGCUGGCUAUUAGAGCUGGGAACUGGGACCCAAGUGGUCUGUUUUCCAUAUAUUAGUAAACAUUGCAGCUGAGACUUUUCUGUAAGAAUUAAUAAGACAAUGCCA